AUGGGGGCGUCCGAAUCUGUGCUGGAGACCUCCGUACACGAAUUCACCGUUAAGGAUUGCAACGGCAAGGAGGUGUGCCUGGACACGUACAAGGGGAAGGUCCUCCUCAUCGUCAACGUCGCCUCCAAAUGCGGGUUCACGGAGACUAAUUACACGCAGCUGACGGAGCUUUAUCAGAAGUACAGGGAGAAAGACUUUGAGAUAUUAGCAUUCCCCUGCAACCAGUUCUUGCGACAAGAGCCAGGCAGUGACCAGCAGAUCCAAGACUUUGCAUGCACAAGAUUCAAAGCUGAAUAUCCAGUUUUUCAGAAGGUGCGUGUAAAUGGCCCAGAUGCUGCGCCGCUUUACAAGUUUCUGAAAGCUAACAAACCUGGUUUGUUUGGUUCAAGAAUCAAGUGGAACUUUACCAAGUUUCUUGUUGACAAGAAUGGAAAAAAAGACAUCCAGAAGGCACUUGAGGAGGAACCCUCUGACUCGCAGACAAAAAAAGAGGAGGAAUCCUCCGACUCGCAGAAGUAG
rnacentral:rRNA from 1 species